rnacentral:lncRNA from 1 species
UGCGCGGCGCUGCUGCAGCACUCGCUUUUAACCCUAUUUUUUCCAUUUAACCCUAUUUUGUUAACCCUAUUUUUCUUUAACCCUAUUUUUCUUUAUUUAACCCUACUUUUAUUUAAUCCAUUUUUUUUAUUUAACCCUAUUUUAUUUAACCCUAUUUUUACUUAACCCUAUUUUUUUUAUUUAACCCUAUUUUCAUUUAACCCUAUAUUUUUUCUUUAACCCUAUUUUUUUUCUUUAACCCUAUUUCUUUAACCCUAUUUUUAUUUAACCCUAUUUUCAUUUAACCCUAUUUUUCUUUAACCCCAUUUUUUAACCCCAUUUUUUUAACCCCAUUUUUUCAUUCAACCCCAUUAUUUUUCCCCCCCCCCCCCCUUUCCCCCCCCCCCCCCCGACCCACCUGCCCGGCGCUGCUGCAGCACUCGCUUUUAACCCUAAUUUUUUCCAUUUAACCCUAUUUUCAUUUAACCCUAUUUUUACUUAACCCUAUUUUUCUUUAACCAUAUAUCUAUUUAUCCCUUUUUUUUUAUUUAAUCCUAUUUUUUCUAUUUAACCCUAUUUCUUUAACCCUAUUUUUUUAUCCCAUUUUUUUCUUUACCCCUAUUUUUUUUUUAUUUAACCCUAUUUUUUUUUCUUUAACCCCAUUUUUUUUUAAUUUAACCCCAUUUUUUUCUUUAACCCUACUUUUUUUUUUACUUAACCCCAUUAUUUUCCCCCCCCUUUCCCCCCCUCCCGACCCACCUGCGCGGCGCUGCUGCAGCACUCGCUCUCCAGCUGGGGGUCCCGCAGGCGCCGGGCGCAUUUUCCCUAUUUUCAUUUAUUUAACCCUAUUUUCCUUUAACCCUAUUUUCCUUUAACCCUAUUUUUUUUCAUUUAACCCUAUUUUCAUGUAACCCUCUUUUUAUUCAACCCUAUUUUUCUUUAACUCUAUAUCUAUUUAACCCUAUUUUUCUUUAUUUAACCCUACUUUUAUUUAACCCUAUUUUUUUUCUUUAACCCUAUUUUCAUUUAACCCUAUAUUUUUUUCUUUAACCCUAUUUUUUUCUUUAACUCCAUUUUUCUUUAAACCCAUUUUUUUCUUUAACCCUAUUUUUUUUUCUUUAACCCUAUUUUUUUUUCUUUAACCCUAUUUUUUUAACCCCAUUUUUUCUUUAACCCUAUUUCUUUAACCCUAUCUUUCUUUAACCCCAUUUUUUUAACCCUAUUUUUUUAAUCCUAUUUUUUUAUUCAACCCUAUUUUUAUCUAACCCUAUUUUAUUUAUUUAACCCUAUUUUCACUUAACCCUAUUUUUCUUUAACCCUAUUUUUCUUUAUUUAACCGUACUUUUAUUUAACCCUAUAUUUUUUCUCUAACCCCAUUUUCAUUUAACCCUAUUAUUUUUCUUUAACCCUAUCUUUCUUUAACCCUACAAUUUUUUCUUUAACCCUAUUUUUCUUUAAUCCUAUUUUACUUAACCCUAUUUUCCUUUAACCCUACUUUUUUCAUUUAACCCUAUUUCCAUUCAACCCUAUUUUUUUUAUUUAACCCUAUUUUUUCUA